GGAGAAGGCUCAGAGCUGUUAUCUCGGCAAAGGGAGGUAGCAGAAAAUAUUGGCUAAAAGGGUGCCAAUAAUUGUUGCACACCUAUAUUUAACAAAGAUUUUUUUGAUAAACCUGUGUUUUGUUUGCAAUUGUUUGAUAUCCAACAGAGUAUUUUUGUGAAUUUUAUGAACAAAAGAUCAAAAGGUUAAACAAUAAAGACAAAUUUUCACAUCCUUCUUUGCUCAUAUUUACCAUGGGUGCCAAUAUUAGUGGAGGGCACUGUAGGUGAAUCAGCCUUUAACUUGUUUAAUUUAAAUCAGUUUCAACUUCCCAGUUGGCAAGCGAAGAAUGCAGGAUUCAAAAACACAAUUAGUGCUACAGAGCCAAGCUUUAACAAACCUGUUAGAUUGGGCAUUCAAGAAAUCACCAUAUCAAAAUAAUGGAGAUUUUUUCCCACCCAUAUUCUGAAAACCCUUUGAUGGUUACCACCACCACCACCUAAUACUGGCCUGCCACUGAGCUAUUUUAAAAGUGAAUAUGACUCCUCUGUGGCAGCCCAUGUGGUGGCAUAACAAAAAUAAAUGGGUCAGUGUGUGAAAGAUGUGGCCAAGAAGAGCAGUUGUAUGUCAUGCAUCACAGCUUGAACACUGGAGCUCAGUGGAGCUAUGAGAAGAAUAAAUCAGAAUACCUGGAAUGCUCAUGGAGAUCAGUUCACUGUCUGCACAUGCACAUUAUCUGUGUACUACACAUUAAAACACUUGCUUACAGUAAAUGACAAAUAUAAAAACACAUACAAGCAUAGAGCACACAAGCACACACAUGCUACAUGUUCAGCAGUAUGAGGGUCAUGGACUCUGACCUCCCAAAGGCCUCAUAGUAAAGGAGCAGUUGUAAGCGUGGCCUGCAUGUGUGUGUGCAGGUGUAGAAGACAGCGACAUAAAAUUACAUUCUUUUUAAAAACAGAAAUGGGAUUGAGACUUAAGUUCAAGACUUUUCCUUCAACAACUAUAGACUGAUGUAGAGCUACAACAACUAAUCAAUAAAAUCGAUAUUAAAAAUAAUCAACAACAAAUUUCAUUAUGGAUUAGUUGGGUCUGUG
ensembl:lncRNA